rnacentral:rRNA from 1 species
UACGUAGGGUGCGAGCGUUAAUCGGAAUUACUGGGCGUAAAGGGCGUGUAGGUGGUCUGCUAAGUCAUGUGUGAAAGCCCCCAGCUCAACUGGGGAAGUGCGCAUGAAACUGACAGGCUAGAGUACCGAAGAGGAAGGUGGAAUUCCCGGUGUAGCGGUGAAAUGCGUAGAGUAUCUGGAGGAACACCGGUGGCGAAGGCGGGUCUCCUGGGCCGAUACUGACGCUGAGGAGCGGAAAGCGUGGGGAGCGAACAGG